ACGGAUAAACAAGUCGCAAGAUGAGUUUAUUAGUGGCGGAAGGGUUAGUAAUACAUGAAUAACUUGCCUUAUAUUCUGGAAUAACGAUUGGAAACGAUCGCUAAUACUGGAUAAGGUGCAGAAAUGGCAUCAUUUUUGCAUCAAAGUGGGGGACCGCAAGGCCCUGCGAUAUUGAGAGAGGUUCAUGGGAUAUCAGCUAGUUGGUGUGGUAAUGGCACACCAAGGCUAAGACGUCUAGGCGGAUUGAGAGAUUGA
rnacentral:rRNA from 1 species